rnacentral:rRNA from 1 species
AAAUUGAAGAGUUUGAUCAUGGCUCAGAUUGAACGCUGGCGGCAGGCCUAACACAUGCAAGUCGAACGGUAGCACAGAGAGCUUGCUCUCGGGUGACGAGUGGCGGACGGGUGAGUAAUGUCUGGGAAACUGCCCGAUGGAGGGGGAUAACUACUGGAAACGGUAGCUAAUACCGCAUAACGUCGCAAGACCAAAGAGGGGGACCUUCGGGCCUCUUGCCAUCGGAUGUGCCCAGAUGGGAUUAGCUUGUAGGUGAGGUAACGGCUCACCUAGGCGACGAUCCCUAGCUGGUCUGAGAGGAUGACCAGCCACACUGGAACUGAGACACGGUCCAGACUCCUACGGGAGGCAGCAGUGGGGAAUAUUGCACAAUGGGCGCAAGCCUGAUGCAGCCAUGCCGCGUGUAUGAAGAAGGCCUUCGGGUUGUAAAGUACUUUCAGCGGGGAGGA